AAAAGUAAUCAGCUUAAGUUUACGGGAAAGGUGUUAUUCACCUAUUAGGUAUAAUUGAUAGUUAACAGGCAUUUAAAUAAAUAAAUUUAAGUAUUUAAUAAGUUUUAAAAAAUAAAAUUAAUAGGUGAUGGAUUAGUGAUAUGAUAUUUAUCGGCUACAAUUUGUACCAACUCUAUUUUUAGGUAACUAAUUUGAUUUUAUU
rnacentral:misc_RNA from 1 species